rnacentral:ncRNA from 1 species
AAGGAGUUUUAUUCUUGCUUUUUCAUUCAGUUUUUGUUUGUUCUAUAUGUAAGUUUGUGCGUGUUUUGGGUUUGAUACUCUAAAUGGGUUGUCGAUGGGUUGUGUUAUUUAUUUUCAUUAGUUAUUGUUAGUUUGGUCAAGUGUGCUUGUAUCUAGCAAUUCUUUUUAGUUUCGGUUAAAUUUUGUGCCAGCAGCCGCGGUUAUACCUUGGAGGCGUUUGAAUGUGUUUGGUAUAUUAGUAGUUGUAUGUUUUAUAUUUUAUUGAUUUUUUUGGUCUUGUUUGGUAGGUGAAAUUUUUAUGUUUGUUUAAUGUUUAGUUAUUUAUUUGGAGGCUACGAAACCUUUGGUUUAGACUAGGAUUAGAUACCCUAUUAUUAAUUGGUGUUAAUGUUUUGUGCUUGAGUAGUAUUAGUUAUGUUCUUGAAACUUAAAGAAUUUGGCGGUAUCUCAUUCUGUCCAGAGGAAUCUGUCUCGUUAUCGAUAGUCCGCGUUGGAUCUUACUUAGAGUUUAGAGUGGUUUGUAUACCGCCGUUUAUUGAUUAUCUUUUUAGAGUUAAUUUUCUGGUUUCUUUAUUUUGAUUUAUUUCAGGUCAAGGUGCAGCUUUUUCUAAGUGUAAUGAUGGAUUACAGUGUUAUUUGUUGUUUGGAUUGUUUGGUUUUGAUACUGAUAUGAAAUUGGAUUUGGUUGUAAUGUUUUGUAGAUUGUUUUCAUGAUAAUUGGUUCUGAGAUAUGUACACAUCGCCCGUCACUCUCGUUUAGUUAUUAAUGAGAUAAGUCGUAACAAAGUGGCUGUACCGGAAGGUGUGGCUGGGAUGAA